CCUCUGGUAGCUCAGUUGGUAGAGCGGUGGACUGUAGUUGGUAACAGAGUGUCAGUAAUCCAUAGGUCGCUGGUUCAAAUCCGGCCCAGAGGA
rnacentral:tRNA from 1 species